ACCAGGCUCUGCUGCCACCGAGUCCCUAGCCCCAACUCAACAAACCUGAAAGCCUUCACAGCAGUGAGCUGCAAUGUUGGAGGGCUUCAUCUCGGGCUGCAAGGACCCUGGGAAAGUUCCAGAACUCCACGUCCUUGUCUCAAUUGUGCCAUCAACUUUCAGAGCUAUCAUGAGCCAACCUCAGCCCACAGGGCCUCAGUCGCCACCAUGUGGGCCUCUCCAGUGCAAACCACCGAGCAUUCCACCAUGACUGGUCACAGCUACAAAUCCAGAGACUAUUAAUCCUGCUAGGGUGCAAGGUGGCAAGCACCCAAGGGUGGCUGACCAAGACUGCAGAGUUUCCUCCAUCUUCAGGUCCAUUCAGCCUCCUGGCAUUUAACUACCAGCAUCCAGUGGUCCCCAAGGAAUCCCUUCAUAGCCUCCUGACAUGAGUCUGCUGGAAAGAACACCCAAACAAACAAGUAAUAAAUAAAUAAAUCAACUCAA
rnacentral:sRNA from 1 species